AGAGAGAGACAUGCGCGCAUAUCAAUAAGCGGAGGAAAAGAAACUAACAAGGAUUCCCCUAGUAACGGCGAGUGAAGCGGGAAGAGCUCAAAUUUGAAGUCUUAAAGGGUUUACCUUUACGAAUUGUAGUUUAAAGAAGUGUUUUCUGUUGAGGUUUCGGUAAAAGUUCUUUGGAAUAGGACAUCAUAGAGGGUGAGAAUCCCGUAUUUGACCGUUAUUUUCAACUUUGUGAUACACUUUCAAAGAGUCGGAUUGUUUGGGAAUGCAGUCCAAAAUGGGUGGUAAAUUUCAUCUAAAGCUAAAUAUUGGCGAGAGACCGAUAGCGAACAAGUACCGUGAGGGAAAGAUGAAAAGAACUUUGAAAAGAGAGUUAAACAGUACGUGAAAUUGUCAAAAGGGAAGCGUUUGACACCAGUGUUGUUUUUCUGAAAAUCAAUUAAAGAACUGUUUAUGCUAAGUUGUUUAGACUUUAUCAGCUAACUGUUUAGUUUUGAGCUUUUCUUUAAUGCACUUCUCAGUUAACAAGUCAACAUCAAUUUCUUUUGCUGUAAAAAAGCUUGAGGAAGGUGGCUUGAGAUUCGUCUUAAGUGUUUAUAGCCUCUUGCCUAUGCAGUCGGAGAGAUUGAGGUCUGCAGCGUAGAUCCUUCGGGGCUAAAUGCAUUUGUGCUAAGUUAUAGCAUUUUAUAGACAACUUGUUGACUAUGAUUUGUCUUGUAGCUUACUCGCUUAUGUUAUUUUACCUACGCUUAGGAUGUUGAAGACUCUACAGAGAUA
rnacentral:rRNA from 1 species